AGGGAUCUCGCUCUGUGUGUUAUUGUGUGCAAGUUCAGGGAGAUAGAGGGAACGAGACAGAGACUUCGAUGGUGGCCGAGGGAGGCGAUGCCGCCGGGAAUCGAUGGUGGGCAGCGAAUACUCGGAGGUAAAUUCAAGAUCGGCCGUAAGAUCGGUAGUGGAUCAUUUGGUGGUAUCAUUCUGGGUGGCUGAAUUUGUUCAAAGAAUUUUGAUGUUUUCGUUUUUGUUGUGUUGAAUUUUUUGCUCGGGAAAGUGUCGAAGUGAAGAUUGAAACAUGGAGAAAGCUAGGGUUCCCUUUUCAAAAUUGGAGCGAAAAUUAGAAUUAUGGUUCAUCCGAAUCAGAUUAAAGAAGAAAGAGUGUAAAACGACACAACGUCGUUUUGUUUUUACACCGACGAACGGAAUGGCGUGUGCCAGCGAGCCACGUAGGAGCCACAUCAUUUUUUAAUUUUGGGGAAAUAAAAAUUAGGUUAAAAUUGGACAACUUAUUAAAUUGAUGUAUUAAAUUAUAAAAUUCUAACUUCGCGUUAAAUAUGGAUUUUUGGCGAAAUUUGUGUAUUUACGUGCAAUUUUCCCUAAUUUAAAUUCUAAUUUUCUAAUUGCAAAAUCCUAAGCAACGUGUAUUCUGAAAUUUAGAUUUGAGAUUCUCCUAGUGAAUGCGCCGCGACUUCUCAGAGACAGAGUCUCAGACCUCCGACUCCCCCCUAACCUCUGACCUUCCGCCGUCCGGCCGCCGUCCACUCGUCUCCCUUCCGGCGCGAGUCGCGACAGCCCAGCCGGGUUCCAGCAUUCCAGCCUUCGCGCCAGCCCCUUCCGGCGCGGGUUCCAGCCUUCCAGACCGGCCUUCGCGACAGCCCAGCCGCCAGCCGGGUCCCCCUCACUCUUCGAUUUGAUUUUUCGUAAGUUUCAGUUUGAUACUUUGAUUUGAUUUUCAAGUUUGGGACUUUUAAUGGCUGAAAAUUUAGGUUUCCAGUUUGCUUGUAAUGUAGAUCUGAAAAUCUGAAUUGGGAUCGACUUGUGGCUGUUAAAUUGUUAAUGCAAAUCUUCGAAUUUAGGUUUCCAGUUUAGCUUCAAAUUUAGCUCUGAAAAUCUGCAUUGUCAGAUGUUAAGCUUUUAAAAUCUGAAAAAAAAAAUUGUAUCGGUUCGAUAAACCGAACCGAAACUGACGGUUUUAUUGGUUGGAUUUGGCACCCCCAAUUGGUGCGGUGCGGUCCCAAUUUUAACCAUCGGCUUAUUGUACCAGCUGAAAUAAUGAGCUUAUGCUGGUGAAAUUAUUAGAAAUUGUUUCUUAUGUUUAUUUUGUACUUUCUCUUAAGUCACACUCAAGAUUUUAUGGUGUUUCUCUAGCGAAUUAAUCUGAUUUCUGUUGGAGCAUAUAUACUUCAUCCUUAUAGAAAGUGUGGCUAUCAAAUGUAUAAGUUGUUGAGAACCUUUUUUGCCCUCUGAAAUGAUUUUGAGCAGUGCUUGGUUUUAUAGUUCGUAUCAUUUUGUCCUUAUAUAUAGUUGCAGAACUAAUACUGAUCUUGAAUAUCUAGUACAUUGACCAUGACAGUUAGGGGCCUACUUUAACAUAAAAAUUAAGCAGGGACAAGUAAGUGGACUCAAGAAUGCCACCUUUCUAUUGGAGCGAGCAAGUGGCAAAACAUUGCAUCCCAAAUCUUCAUCUUGAUAUGUCUUAACAUCAUCAGUUAAAGUUGGAUGGUACACCAAAUCUACAACUAGAUAUGUCUUAACAUCAUUAAAGCUUGAUGAUCGCCACCUUAUAUACAUCUCAGCUGCUCUAUUAAUUCUUGCUUUGAUUGGUGAUAUAUAUAUAUAUAUAUAUAUAUAUAUAUAGUAGGNNNNNNNNNNNNNNNNNNNNNNNNNNNNNNNNNNNNNNNNNNNNNNNNNNNNNNNNNNNNNNNNNNNNNNNACUACUACUAUAUAUAUAUAUAUAUAUAUAUAUAUAUAUAUAUAUAUAUAUAUAUAUAUAUAGGGAGAGGUUCAGGAAAGAACCAUAAAUAAAAGAAGACCGGAGAACCAUUUUCAGUCAUUCGAUCAUCAAGAUCUACGGUGGAUGCAUCAUCUUGUUGGAUGAAUGCAGAUCCUGGGUUCGAAUCCUGA
rnacentral:lncRNA from 1 species